rnacentral:lncRNA from 1 species
GAGGGGCACACUCUUUCCGGUUUGCUUCCGGUUUUUUCCUCAGGCUUCCGGUCUGUUUGGUGCCCUGGUCGCGUGUCUUCCGAACUCUGCUGCUUCGCCCCGGCAAGAGCACUUCCUUCCGCGGCUGCUAAAACUGGUGCGCGGGUUCCCAACUUCGCAGAAGAGCUUCAUCGGCCCCCCGCUAGAGACCUCAGACCGCAGCCAUCGACGCCUCGCCUCGGGGAUCUGUCCCCACCCUCGGGGCCAGCUCACCAUGAGUCAGGCCCUGUGCUAGGUGCUGGGAUGAAGCAGUGACUGACACAGGCCUGGACCUGUCCUUGGGAAGAGUGCGUCUGUGACACAGAUACUGUGCCAUGUGGCAAAGUAAGCGCGUGGGACAGCAGAGCCUUGUUUGCCAUUAAAGUAAUAUCACAAGUCUGUUAAGGUUGGAGAAUCAAGUGAACAUGCUGAAAAGUUAUGGGGAAUGUAGUCUCAUAGCUGGGGGAGCUGGGGGCCUUGUCAAUUGGUUCCCCCAGUCUGGAGAGCAAUCUGAG